GCCUGGGUGGCUCAGUCGGUUAAGCGUCUGACUUCAACUCACAGUUUGUGGGUUCGAGCCCCACGUCGGGCU
rnacentral:tRNA from 1 species